AACGAACGCUGGCGGCAGGCUUAACACAUGCAAGUCGAGCGCAUCCUUCGGGGUGAGCGGCAGACGGGUGAGUAACGCGUGGGAAUCUACCUUUUGCUACGGAAUAGCUCCGGGAAACUGGAAUUAAUACCGUAUGUGCCCUUAGGGGGAAAGAUUUAUCGGCAAGAGAUGAGCCCGCGUUGGAUUAGCUAGUUGGUGGGGUAAAGGCCUACCAAGGCGACGAUCCAUAGCUGGUCUGAGAGGAUGAUCAGCCACAUUGGGACUGAGACACGGCCCAAACUCCUACGGGAGGCAGCAGUGGGGAAUAUUGGACAAUGGGCGCAAGCCUGAUCCCGCCAUGCCGGGUGAGUGAUGAAGGCCUUAGGGUUGUAAAGCUCUUUCACCGGAGAAGAUAAUGACGGUAUCCGGAGAAGAAGCCCCGGCUAACUUCGUG
rnacentral:rRNA from 1 species